rnacentral:lncRNA from 7 species
UUGCAUUCCUUUGCCUCGUGCCUAGGGCUCCAACCACCCAUGAUGGUGGAAGGAGUCCUUGGCAAACCGAAGGAACAAAAGGGGCUGGGGGAUAAGGAAGGGUACAAGCCCCAUAACCCUUCACCUCACGGCAUUUGAGCUCCGACCUGCAGGGUGGACGCUGAACGAGACCUGCUUUCCCUUUGCCUUCAGGAUCUCACUGGUUUUGCUCAAGCAGAAAAGGCAGGAGCUGAACGUGAAUAUUACUCAGAUGUCUGCCGGGAAGGAGAGCAUUCUACAAGCAGUGGGUGAUGUCCUCAGCAACAACGGGAUCCAGGAGGAGAAGAGAGGGGAAAUUCUGCAGCUGACAAGAGAUGCAAUCAAGGUGAUUGAAAACUACAUCUGGAUGCUCGAUUGGGCUCUGAAAACCACAGGUAGACAGACAGCUUCACUACCCUCAGCUUUGUGUCUGGUACUCCCCAGAGCCUGCCAAGCUCUGCUUUCUGUCGGAGAAAUAUCUGAAGGAGUUUUAGAAUGGCUUAAGUCCUUUGGCCCAGCUGCAUUGCUCAGCCCACACUCUUCCCCACAUUAUUGCCACCUGCCAUUACUGGGAGCUGUACCCUCCCAUCAGGAGGGGACUGAGCUGGGCCCAGCUGCUGCCACCUGCCCGCAUCUCUUGGUGGCAGUUUGCUGAGGAACUUGGUCCUUGGCAGCCCUGCUGGCAGCCCUCAUUUCUGAGGGACUCAUUCCAGAGUGGCAGGGUAGUGGGAGCUGUGUGGGUCUGCCGGUCUGCAGAAGCUGGGAGACAUUUCCCAGCCCCAGCCCUGGCCUGCUUAGCCAGAGCAGCCUGAAGAAGGGCCAGGGCUGAACUGGUCUUUGCAGCUCCAGCACAGUGUUGGGAGGUGAUGAGCUGACAGAUGCUGGGGAGGGCUGCCCUGCUGGCUCUGGGCAAGCAGAAAGGUGCUUGACUCCAAAUGUUUUGUCAAAACCGUUUGAUAUUCCCUCCUGUCCCUUGACUAGUGUUCAUUUACGAGGAGAAUGGCAGCCCAUAGAGAAAGCAACUCUGUGCUCCUUGCCACAGGAACAGCCAGCUCUGUUGGCUCUUUGCCUCGCUGCUGAUGGACGUGUCUUUCUCAUUGCUGCCUGACAUUUCUCCUGGCAGCUGCUGGGCUUUCCAAGGAUCUCAGGGCCAUGUGGUCAUCCGGCUGCCAGAGAAAAUCCAGCCCAGAGCUUUCACCAUCUGGCACAUCUCCAGGGCAGUCUCUCCGUGUGGGGAAGUCAGCAG